rnacentral:rRNA from 1 species
GGCGUGUACUGCUUGGCUGGGCCUUACUUCUUGGUGAGCCGGCGUGCCCUUUAUUGGUGUGCGUCGGGGAACCAGGACUUUUACCUUGAGAAAAUUAGAGUGUUCAAAGCAGGCCUAUGCCUGAAUACAUUAGCAUGGAAUAAUAGAAUAGGACGUGCGGUUCUAUUUUGUUGGUUUCUAGAGUCGCCGUAAUGAUUAAUAGGGACAGUUGGGGGCAUUGGUAUUGAGUCGCUCCAGGUGAAAUUCUUGGAUUGACUCGAGACCGACUAUUGCUAAAGCAUUUGCCCAGGAUGUUUUCAUUAAUCAAGAACAAAGGUUAGGGGAUCGAAAACUAUCAUAUACCGUUGUACUCUUAACAGUAAACUAUGCCGACGAGGGAUCGGAUGACCUCAAAAUUGAUGUGUCAUUCGGCACCUUACGAGACAUCAAAGUCUUUGGGUUCUGGGGGGAGUAUGGUCGCAAGGCUGACACUUAAAGGAAUUGACGGAAGGGCACCACCAGGUGUGGAGCCUGCGGCUUAAUUUGACUCAACACGGGGAAACUCACCAGGUCCAGACAUAACUAGGAUUGACAGAUUGAUAGCUCUUUCAUGAUUUUAUGGGUGGUGGUGCAUGGCCGUUCUUAGUUGGUGGAGUGAUUUGUCUGGUUAAUUCCGAUAACGAACGAGACCUUAACCUGCUAAAUAGCCAGCCCGGCUUCGGCUGGUCUCUGGCUUCUAGAGGGACUGUCAG